rnacentral:rRNA from 1 species
GACGAACGCUGGCGGCGUGCUUAACACAUGCAAGUCGAACGGAAAGGCCCUUCGGGGUACUCGAGUGGCGAACGGGUGAGUAACACGUGGGCAACCUGCCCCUAGCUCUGGGAUAACUCCGGGAAACCGGUGCUAAUACCGGAUACACACUUUUUGGGCAUCUCAGAUGGUGGAAAGUUUUUCGGCUAGGGAUGGGCCCGCGGCCUAUCAGCUUGUUGGUGGGGUAAUGGCCUACCAAGGCGACGACGGGUAGCCGGCCUGAGAGGGCGACCGGCCACACUGGGACUGAGACACGGCCCAGACUCCUACGGGAGGCAGCAGUGGGGAAUAUUGCGCAAUGGGCGAAAGCCUGACGCAGCGACGCCGCGUGAGGGAUGACGGCCUUCGGGUUGUAAACCUCUUUCAGCUCUGACGAAGCGCAAGUGACGGUAGGAGCAGAAGAAGCACCGGCCAACUACGUGCCAGCAGCCGCGGUAAUACGUAGGGUGCAAGCGUUGUCCGGAAUUAUUGGGCGUAAAGAGCUCGUAGGCGGUCUGUCGCGUCGAAUGUGAAAACACGAGGCUCAACUUCGUGCCUGCAUUCGAUACGGGCAGACUAGAGUUCGGUAGGGGAGUCUGGAAUUCCUGGUGUAGCGGUGAAAUGCGCAGAUAUCAGGAGGAACACCGGUGGCGAAGGCGGGACUCUG